rnacentral:tRNA from 1 species
GGGGAGAUAGCUCAGUGGUAAAGCACCUGCCUAGCAAGCAUGAGGCCCUGAGUUCAAUCCCCAUCACCACA